UUCCUCGUGGUGGAUGAAUGAACGGCCACCUGGGCACAUUUCCACUCUAGGCGGGAACUCGCCACAAAGAGAAAUCGCUGAGGACUCUGUCAGAAGUGCUUUCACCCGCAGAGAGUGUACUGCUCUCUCCCCUACCCAACACUGUAAGGAUGUGCGAGGGAAAAUACCAAACCCUUGCUCAUUCAGAGGGUAUUUCCUCCUCCAUUUUCCCAGCUGUACCUUGUAUGUCAAGCAAGGACUGUUUGCUGGGCAGAAAAGACGAUUGUGGAACAAGAGGGGACUGGGAGGGCCCUGCUGUGGGACCAUCUGCAGUUCAGCCCUGCCUCCACUGCACGUACCAGUUCUUCCUCAAUUAGCUGCAAGAUGACUCAGAUACUCUGCAAAGCAGUCACAUACCUCAGGGCAUGUUUUCCCUGCACGAAGGUUUAUUAAUCAGAGCCGCUGUCCCUGCGGAAGUUUCCCAGAAAAUUCAGACUCAUAAUUCUUCAGCCUUGAAUGCAGCCUUGCACCAGUGACUCUCCAAGGAGCAUCCCAGCCUUCACCCUCAGCGGGGCUGCAUCAUUUUUCCCUCUUGUUCUGAGGCCUCCAGCUGAUUGGACUGAGCAGUUAGCCAUUUCCUUGCUCCAGUCUGAAGACAGACAUUGUGGGACAAGUCAGCUUCUGCUUAUGCAAACCCGUCUAAUAAACCCCAUCUUACAGUUACAUGUGUAA